CAGCCGCCGCGGGAAUACGAAGGGUGCAAGCGUUACUCGGAAUUACUGGGCGUAAAGCGCGCGUAGGUGGUUCGCCAAGUUGGAUGUGAAAUCCCCGGGCUCAACCUGGGAACUGCAUCCAAAACUGGCGAGCUAGAGUAUGGUAGAGGGUGGUGGAAUUUCCUGUGUAGCGGUGAAAUGCGUAGAUAUAGGAAGGAACAUCAGUGGCGAAGGCGACCACCUGGACUGAUACUGACACUGAGGUGCGAAAGCGUGGGGAGCAAACAGGAUUAGAUACCCCAGUAGUCCCUGUCUCUUAUAC
rnacentral:rRNA from 1 species